GGUCCCGUAGUGGAGCGUUUUAACACGCCUGCCUGUCACGCAGGAGAUCGCGGGUUCGAUUCCCGUCGGGACCGCCA
rnacentral:tRNA from 1 species